CUAUUAGGUUGGUGCAAAAGUAAUUGCGGUUGUUGCCACUGAAAGUAAUGGCAAAACCACAAUGACUUUUGCACCAGUCUA
ensembl:miRNA